UACAGAGGUCUCAAGCGUUGUUCGGAUUCAUUGGGCGUAAAGAGCUCGUAGGCGGUUUGUCGCGUCUGCUGUGAAAACUCGGGGCUUAACUCCGGGCCUGCAGUGGGUACGGGCAGACUAGAGUGCGGUAGGGGAGACUGGAAUUCCUGGUGUAGCGGUGAAAUGCGCAGAUAUCAGGAGGAACACCGGUGGCGAAGGCGGGUCUCUGGGCCGUAACUGACGCUGAGGAGCGAAAGCGUGGGGAGCGAACAGG
rnacentral:rRNA from 1 species